rfam:Phytophthora sojae unplaced genomic scaffold PHYSOscaffold_1, whole genome shotgun sequence.
AGCACCGUAGCUCAAAGGAAGAGCGCCGAGCUUUGGCUCUGGAGACGCCCGUUCAAUUCGGGUCGGCGCUA